GAUGAACGCUGGCGGCGUGCUUAACACAUGCAAGUCGAACGAUGAAGCCCAGCUUGCUGGGUGGAUUAGUGGCGAACGGGUGAGUAACACGUGAGUAACCUGCCCUAACUCUGGGAUAAGCCUGGGAAACUGGGUCUAAUACCGGAUAGGAGCGCCUACCGCAUGGUGGGGGUUGGGAAGAUUUAUCGGUUUUGGAUGGACUCGCGGCCUAUCAGCUUGUUGGUGAGGUAAUGGCUCACCAAGGCGACGACGGGUAGCCGGCCUGAGAGGGUGACCGGCCACACUGGGACUGAGACACGGCCCAGACUCCUACGGGAGGCAGCAGUGGGGAAUAUUGCACAAUGGGCGAAAGCCUGAUGCAGCGACGCCGCGUGAGGGAUGACGGCCUUCGGGUUGUAAACCUCUUUCAGUAGGGAAGAAGCGAAAGUGACGGUACCUGCAGAAGAAGCACCGGCUAACUACGUG
rnacentral:rRNA from 1 species